UACGUAGGUGGCAAGCGUUGUUCGGAAUUACUGGGCGUAAAGGGCGCGUAGGCGGCCUGUUAAGUCGAACGUGAAAUCCCCGGGCUCAACCCGGGAACUGCGUCCGAUACUGGCAGGCUUGAAUCCGGGAGAGGGAUGCGGAAUUCCAGGUGUAGCGGUGAAAUGCGUAGAUAUCUGGAGGAACACCGGUGGCGAAGGCGGCGAU
rnacentral:rRNA from 1 species